CUGGCUCAGAUGAACGCUGGCGGCAGGCUUAACACAUGCAAGUCGAGCGGGGAUAGGGUGCUUGCACCUGAUCCUAGCGGCGGACGGGUGAGUAAUGCUUAGGAAUCUGCCUAUUAGUGGGGGACAACGUUCCGAAAGGGACGCUAAUACCGCAUACGUCCUACGGGAGAAAGCAGGGGAUCUUCGGACCUUGCGCUAAUAGAUGAGCCUAAGUCGGAUUAGCUAGUUGGUGGGGUAAAGGCCUACCAAGGCGACGAUCUGUAGCGGGUCUGAGAGGAUGAUCCGCCACACUGGGACUGAGACACGGCCCAGACUCCUACGGGAGGCAGCAGUGGGGAAUAUUGGACAAUGGGGGGAACCCUGAUCCAGCCAUGCCGCGUGUGUGAAAAGAAGGCCUUUUGGUUGUAAAGCACUUUAAGCGAGGAGGAGGCUUACCUGGUUAAUACCUGGGAUAAGUGGACGUUACUCGCAGAAUAAGCACCGGCUAACUCUGUGCCAGCAGCAGC
rnacentral:rRNA from 1 species